CAACUAUAAUCAUUGUCGAUUAAAUUAUUCGAACCCGAACUAUGAAAUCCGCCGAAAUUUUUUUACUAUUGUUACUAUUUUAACGAUCGAAAUAUCGUGUUUUCGUCUACUCAUCGUGUAUCGUUCUGGGUAAAACAUACAUGUAUAUAUAUGCUCGUGCACAUUCGGACGUUGGGACGGCACAAAAUUUAACAUAUGCGUCGAAUUAUUUUUGCACGAAACGCGGGAAAGGCGGAAUGAUACAGUGCUACCAUCUCGCGAGUUCGAACGGAAGCUUCGGUUCGCGAUCGAUUAAAGAAAUUCGAUGACGCAAAACUGCACGAUCUUUGGAAAAGUCCAUUAAUCGAAGAUUGUUCAUCGAUCGAUAAUACUGUAAGAUCGGAAGAUCUAUUCUGAUUAGAAUUAUCCCGUUUAAACUGUAUUUUAUCGACCGAUAUCCUUUAAGAAGCAUCGAACACGGAGCGAAGCUAUGGUUUUAAGAGGAGAGCAACGGUACCGCUCGUGAUCACGAUCACUAUGCCAACUCGGCGUUCAAAUCUCUCGAUCAACUGGCACGCAAUGUUCUCGUAUCCUGGAAUAAACUCGCAUAGAUAUUA